rnacentral:rRNA from 1 species
AUUGAACGCUGGUGGCAUGCUUAACACAUGCAAGUCGAACGGUAACAGGUCUAGCUUGCUAGAUGCUGACGAGUGGCGGACGGGUGAGUAACGCGUGGGAAUCUGCCUUCUAGUGGGGGAUAGCCCGGAGAAAUCCGGAUUAAUACCGCAUACGCCCUACGGGGGAAAGCCGGGGAGUCUUCGGACCUGGCGCUAGUAGAUGAGCCCGCGUGAGAUUAGCUUGUUGGUGGGGUAAUGGCCUACCAAGGCAACGAUCUCUAGCUGGUCUGAGAGGACGAUCAGCCACACUGGGACUGAGACACGGCCCAGACUCCUACGGGAGGCAGCAGUGGGGAAUAUUGGACAAUGGGCGAAAGCCUGAUCCAGCAAUGCCGCGUGUGUGAAGAAGGCCUGAGGGUUGUAAAGCACUUUCAAUCGUGAAGAAAAGUUGCAGGCUAAUACCCUGUGACCUUGACGUUAACGAUACAAGAAGCACCGGCUAACU